rnacentral:rRNA from 1 species
AUGUUCCUGCGGCACAGCCACCCCGUCGUGCACCCGGACCCGGCGGCUCCCGCUCCGGCUGCGCAGGGCCAGGGGCCGGUGGCUCCCGCUCCGGCUGCGGUGCCGCAGGCGCAGGGACCGGUGGCUCCCGCUCCGGCUGCGGUGCCGCAGCCGCAGGGACAGGGGCAGGCGGCAGCUGCGGCGGCGCAGGCGCAGGGACAGGGCCCGGCUCCGGCCGCGGGAGCGCAGGGGCCGAACGCGAACGCGCCGCCGCCCGGGGUGCAGAUGGUGGACCCGCGGGGGGCGCCGGGGACGCGCUGGGGGCUCGCGGCCCGCCUCGCGCAGGCGCUGCUCGCGGCGGCCGCCGUCGCCUUCAUGGCCUCCACCGACGACUUCCGCACGCUCACCGCCUUCCGCCUCCUCGUAGCAGCAGAGUCUUUGCAAUGCCUGUGGAGCCUCGCCCUGGCCGCCGUGGACAUCUACGCACUUCUUGUCAAAAGCUCCUUCCGGACAGCCUGUGCUACCACCAUAUAUUCCACCGGGGACUGGGUCACUGGAGCACUGAGCUUCGCUGCAGCGAGUGGGUCGGCAGCCAUGACCACUCUCAUCAACAACGACCUGCUACUGUGCUCGGAGAACCACUGCCCGACCUAUAUGGCCGCCACCGCCAUGGCUUUCUUGAGCUGGUUCGCCAUCGCGCCGUCCUGUGUCAUUAACCUCUGGGCGGCGGUCUACAGCGUGCAGAGAGCAUAG